GCCUAGGUGGCUCAGUGGUUGAGCAUCUGCCUUCAGCUCAGGUAGUAAUCCUGAAGACCUGGGAUCAAGUCCCACAUUGGGCU
rnacentral:tRNA from 1 species